UCUCUCUCUCUUUUACGUGUUUCUCUACCAAAGUGAAAUCAGAGGCGAUUUGCCUCAAAUCAAAAGCAAUCGGAGGAGUCUCCGAUGUUUAUGACCUCCGGCCGUCGUUCCGCCGUUAUCUCAUCAUCUCCACCGACGUCGGUUGUCCUCGGAGACUUUGGUACAUCUAAUCGGCGAGUUAAUGCAUUCGAAAUCGGAGAGUUUUUUCACCAGAUCUUCGAGUUUCGUUCAACAAAUCGGAGUUAAUCCUUCACCAAUCGAGACACAAAACAUCCGUAUAAAAAAAAUGGCACAAGCUAUGCGUCAGUCUUCUCUGCAAGGGGAGCUUGAGGUAGAUGUUGAGAUCAAAGCAUCUGCAAAGAAGUUCCAUCAGAUGCUCUCUAGAAGACCACAAGAUAUUGCAAAAGCCACUCCUGACAUCCAAGGAUGUGCUUUGCAUGAGGGAGAGUUUGGCAAAGUUGGCAGUGUCAUUUUCUGGAACUAUGUUAAUUGAUGGGCAGCCAAAGGUGGGGAAGGAGAGGAUCGAGGCAGUGGAUCAUGAGAAGAAUUUGAUAGCGCUCAGGGUAGUAGAUGGAGAUACAUACGAGAGCGUUUACAAGUCAUUUUUAAGGCCAAUCGAUUACAAACAGUAAACAAAAGAAGGAUAAACUCUUGAUAACACACGUGUCGAACACAAAGACACAUGGAGUAGGACGUGUUGCAAGAGAAACGAGAAAACUUUUCCGUCUUCUUAAGUUAUUUGAUACAUUUUCUCGUUCGCUUAAUUUUUUUUUUUGUUAUUAUUU